rnacentral:rRNA from 1 species
AGCGAACGCUGGCGGCAGGCCUAACACAUGCAAGUCGAGCGGACGUAGCAAUACGUCAGCGGCAGACGGGAGAGUAACACGUGGGAACGCGCCCUUCGGUUCGGGAUAACUCAGGGAAACUUGGGCUAAUACCGGAUACGCCCUUACGGGGAAAGAUUUAUUGCCGAAGGAACGGCCCGCGUCCGAUUAGCUUGUUGGUGAGGUAACGGCUCACCAAGGCGACGAUCGGUAGCUGGUCUGAGAGGAUGACCAGCCUCACUGGGACUGAGACACGGCCCAGACUCCUACGGGAGGCAGCAGUGGGGAAUAUUGGACAAUGGGCGCAAGCCUGAUCCAGCCAUGCCGCGUGGGUGAUGAAGGCCCUAGGGUUGUAAAGCCCUUUCGGCGGGGAAGAUAAUGACGGUACCCGCAGAAGAAGCCCCGGCUAACUUCGUGCCAGCCGCCGCGGUAACAC